UUAAGCAUAUCAAUAAGCGGAGGAAAAGAAACUCACAAGGAUUCCCCUAGUAACGGCGAGUGAAGCGGGAAAAGCUCAAAUUUAAAAUCUGGCGGUCUACGGCCGUCCGAGUUGUAGUCUAGAGAGGUGUCUUCCGUGUCGGACCAUGCACAAGUCCCUUGGAACAGGGCGUCAUAGAGGGUGAGAAUCCCGUCCGUGGCAUGGACUCCCGAUGCUCUGUGAUACACCUUCGAAGAGUCGAGUUGUUUGGGAAUGCAGCUCAAAAUGGGUGGUAAAUUCCAUCUAAAGCUAAAUACAGGCGAGAGACCGAUAGCGAACAAGUACCGUGAGGGAAAGAUGAAAAGCACUUUGGAAAGAGAGUUAAACAGUACGUGAAAUUGUUGAAAGGGAAACGCUUGGAGUCAGUCGCGUUUGCUGGGACUCAGCCUUGCUUUUGCUUGGUGCACUUCCUGGUACACGGGCCAGCAUCAAUUUCGGUCGCCAGAAAAAGGCUUGGGGAAGGUGGCACCUCCGGGUGUGUUAUAGCCCCUCGUUGUAUAUGGUGGCUGGGAUUGAGGACCGCAGCACGCCUUUGGUCGGGGUUCGCCCACGCCACGUGCUUAGGAUGCUGGCGUAAUGGCUUUAAACGACCCGUCUUGAAACACGGACCAAGGAGUCUAACAUGCCCGCGAGUGUUUGGGUGUAAAACCCAGGCGCGUAAUGAAAGUGAAAGGUUGGGACUCUUCGCUGAGGCACCGACGCCCGAUCCUGAAGUUCUCAGACGGAUUUGAGGUAGAGCGUGUAUGUUGGGACCCGAAAGAUGGUGAACUAUGCCUGAAUAGGGCGAAGCCAGAGGAAACUCUGGUGGAGGCUCGUAGCGAUUCUGACGUGCAAAUCGAUCGUCAAAUUUGGGUAUAGGGGCGAAAGACUAAUCGAACC
rnacentral:rRNA from 1 species